rnacentral:rRNA from 1 species
GAUGAACGCUGGCGGCGUGCUUAACACAUGCAAGUCGAACGGUGAACGAGGGAGCUUGCUCCCUCCGGAUCAGUGGCGAACGGGUGAGUAACACGUGAGCAAUCUGCCCUGGACUCUGGGAUAAGCGUUGGAAACGACGUCUAAUACCGGAUACGAGGCGUGGGGGCAUCCCCAACGCCUGGAAAGAACUUCGGUCCAGGAUGAGCUCGCGGCCUAUCAGCUAGUUGGUGAGGUAACGGCUCACCAAGGCGACGACGGGUAGCCGGUCUUGGAGGACGACCAGCCCCACUGGAACUGAGACACGGUCCAGACACCUACGGGUGGCAGCAGUCGAGAAUCUUUCACAAUGGGGGCAACCCUGAUGGAGCGACGCCGCGUGGAGGAUAAGGUCUUCGGAUUGUAAACUCCUGUCAUGCGCGAACAAGGUUGCUGGGUUAAUAACCCGGCAAAUUGAUGGUACCGCAAGAGGAAGAGACGGCUAACUCUGUGCCAGCAGCCGCCGUAAAAC